AGUGAACGCUGGCGGCGUGCCUAAUACAUGCAAGUCGAACGGAGUGGCGCACGGGUGAGUAAUGUAUAGCUAUUCCGCCCUACACUAGUGGACAACAGUUGGAAACGACUGCUAAUACUCUAUAGUGUAGGAUGAGGCUAUAUUGUUUCAUCUCGUUGGUGUGGUUUUGGGUCACCAAGGCUAUGACGCGUAACUGAUCUGAGAGGCUGAUCAGUAACACUGGCACUGAGACACGGUCCAGCCUCCUACGGGAGGCAGCAGGAGGGAAUAUUGAGCAAGGGGGGAAACCCAGAAGCAGCGACGCCACGGGGAGGAUGACACUUUUCGAAGCGUAAACUCCUUUUGUUAGAGAAGCGGAACCUAGCGAGAAGCACCGGCUAACUCCGUGCCAGCAGCCGCGGUAAUUC
rnacentral:rRNA from 1 species